UCCCUCUCAAAGUGGCUGUGAAAUGCGUUAUCCUUCGGUUGCCAUAUCACAGCCAGCUUUGAAGAGCGUCA
rfam:Anopheles sinensis unplaced genomic scaffold AS2_scf7180000696058, whole genome shotgun sequence.